GUCCUCGUAGUUUAACGGAUAGAACUCGAGCCUCCGAAGUUCGAAAUAGAGGUUCAAUUCCUCUCGAGGACA
rfam:Parcubacteria (Magasanikbacteria) bacterium GW2011_GWC2_34_16 TR53_C0002, whole genome shotgun sequence.